GACGAGGGAUCCUAGCGUUGCUCGGAAUCAUUGGGCGUAAAGCGGACGUAGGUGGCUUUGUAAGUCAAGCGUGAAAGCCCUGGGCUCAACCCAGGAAGUGCGCGUGAUACUGCUUAGCUUGAAUGUAGGAGAGGUAAGUGGAAUACCUGGUGUAGUGGUGAAAUACGUAGAUAUCAGGUGGAACACCGGUGGCGAAGGCGGCUUACUGGCCUAACAUUGACGCUGAGGUCCGAAAGCGUGGGGAUCAAACAGGG
rnacentral:rRNA from 1 species